rnacentral:rRNA from 2 species
ACGACGCGGGGCGUGCUAUACUUGCAAGUCGAGGGGACAGAUGGGAGCUUGCUCCUGAUGUAGCGGCGGACGGGUGAGUAACACGUGGGUAACUGCCUGUAAGACUGGGAUAACUCCGGGAAACCGGGGCUAAUACCGGAUGGUUGUUGAACCGCAUGGUUCAAACAUAAAAGGUGGCUUCGGCUACCACUUACAGAUGGACCCGCGGCGCAUAGCUAGUUGGUGAGGUAACGGCUCACCAAGGCGACGAUGCGUAGCCGACUUGAGAGGGUGAUCGGCCACACUGGGANUGAGACACGGCCCAGANUCNUACGGGAGGCAGCAGUAGGGAAUCUUCCGCAAUGGACGAAAGUCUGACGGAGCAACGCCGCGUGAGUGAUGAAGGUUUUCGGAUCGUAAAGCUCUGUUGUUAGGGAAGAACAAGUACCGUUCGAAUAGGGCGGUACCUUGACGGUACCUAACCAGAAAGCCACGGCUAACUACGUGCCAGCAGCCGCGGUAAUACGUAGGUGGCAAGCGUUGUCCGGAAUUAUUGGGCGUAAAGGGCUCGCAGGCGGUUUCUUAAGUCUGAUGUGAAAGCCCCCGGCUCAACCGGGGAGGGUCAUUGGAAACUGGGGAACUUGAGUGCAGAAGAGGAGAGUGGAAUUCCACGUGUAGCGGUGAAAUGCGUAGAGAUGUGGAGGAACACCAGUGGCGAAGGCGACUCUCUGGUCUGUAACUGACGCUGAGGAGCGAAAGCGUGGGGAGCGAACAGGAUUAGAUACCCUGGUAGUCCACGCCGUAAACGAUGAGUGCUAAGUGUUAGGGGGUUUCCGCCCCUUAGUGCUGCAGCUAACGCAUUAAGCACUCCGCCUGGGGAGUACGGUCGCAAGACUGAAACUCAAAGGAAUUGACGGGGGCCCGCACAAGCGGUGGAGCAUGUGGUUUAAUUCGAAGCAACGCGAAGAACCUUACCAGGUCUUGACAUCCUCUGACAAUCCUAGAGAUAGGACGUCCCCUUCGGGGGCAGAGUGACAGGUGGUGC